UUUCUAGGUCUUCCAGAUAAUCCCACUCGUAGCCAUAGUCAUGUGAAUAACUAGCCCGUUCAUAAUCCGACUUCAACUUGUCACUGUGGAUCUUUGGACAAGGCCCCAAAUCCAUUUUAGUAUUUGUAAAUAUAUCAUGAGGACAAAUACCACAUAAAAAGCUUCUGCAAACUUUGCGAUCAGUGAAAUGUACUAGGCCUCGAGAGGUAAAGUUA